GAGAUCGAGGGAUGGAGCAAAUCCCAAAAAUAACGUCCCAGUUCGGACUGUAGUCUGCAACCCGACUACACGAAGCUGGAAUCGCUAGUAAUCGCGGAUCAGAAUGCCGCGGUGAAUACGUUCCCGGGUCUUGUACACACCGCCCGUCACACCAUGGGAGUCAGUAACGCCCGAAGUCAGUGACCUAACCGAAAGGGAGGAGCUGCCGAAGGCGGGACGGAUGACUGGGGUGAAGUCGUAACAAGGUAAC
rnacentral:rRNA from 1 species